rnacentral:rRNA from 1 species
CUGAUCUAGCCAUGCCGCGCGAGUGAUGAAGGCCCUAGGGUCGUAAAGCUCUUUCAACUGUGAAGAUAAUGACGGUAGCAGUAGAAGAAACCCCGGCUAACUCCGUGCCAGCAGCCGCGGUAAUACGGAGGGGGUUAGCGUUGUUCGGAAUUACUGGGCGUAAAGCGUACGUAGGCGGAUUAAUAAGUUAGAGGUGAAAUCCCAGGGCUCAACCCUGGAACUGCCUUUAAAACUGUUAGUCUUGAGAUCGAGAGAGGUGAGUGGAAUUCCAAGUGUAGAGGUGAAAUUCGUAGAUAUUUGGAGGAACACCAGUGGCGAAGGCGGCUCACUGGCUCGAUACUGACGCUGAGGUACGAAAGUGUGGGGAGCAAACAGGAUUAGAUACCCUGGUAGUCCACACCGUAAACGAUGAAUGCCAGACGUCAGCAAGCAUGCUUGUUGGUGUCACACCUAACGGAUUAAGCAUUCCGCCUGGGGAGUACGGUCGCAAGAUUAAAACUCAAAGGAAUUGACGGGGGCCCGCACAAGCGGUGGAGCAUGUGGUUUAAUUCGACGCAACGCGCAGAACCUUACCAACCCUUGACAUACUUGUCGCGGAUUCCAGAGAUGGAUUCCUUCAGUUCGGCUGGACAAUGUACAGGUGCUGCAUGGCUGUCGUCAGCUCGUGUCGUGAGAUGUUCGGUUAAGUCCGGCAACGAGCGCAACCCACGUCCUUAGUUACCAGCAUUUAGUUGGGUACCCUAAGGAGACUGCCGGUGAUAAGCCGGAGGAAGGUGUGGACGACGUCAAGUCAUCAUGGCCCUUACGGGUUGGGCUACACACGUGCUACAAUGGCAUCUACAGUGAGUUAAUCUCCAAAAGAUGUCUCAGUUCG